rnacentral:rRNA from 1 species
GACGUAGGGCGCGAGCGUUGUCCGGAUUAUUGGGCGUAAAGAGCUCGUAGGCGGCUCAUUGCGUCAACCGUGAAAACCAGCAGCUCAACUGUUGGCUUGCGGUUGAUACGGGUGGGCUGGAGUUCGGUAGGGGAGACUGGAAUUCCUGGUGUAGCGGUGAAAUGCGCAGAUAUCAGGAGGAACACCGGUGGCGAAGGCGGGUCUCUGG